CUCGGAGUCGGAUGUCAGGCAGGCGGAGACGCCGGAGAUAACUGUUCAUGCGCAGACAUCUCGCCGGAAACCGAAAGGAAUCCUACAGAUAUGUGUGAUUCUGUGUGAGACAGACGGAUUGAAGAAGGAUAAAAUGGUACUUCGGAUGAUCGCGGGAAGGCAAAGGUGUGAUCGUACAACUCCUCACAUAUUAUGACUUUGUUUUUGGGAUACUCUGAUAUGGAACUAAUUUGAAAACAAAUUUAUAAUAAGUUUUGGUUUUGAAUGAUUUAAAAAGUUUUAAUUUGGCAUGAUUUUUAUGGAUUUUACAGUAGA